rnacentral:rRNA from 1 species
AACCGUGCAAAGGUAGCGUAAUCACUUGCCCCCUAAAUAGGGGCCCGUAUGAACGGCUAAAUGAGGACCAAACUGUCUCUUGUAACCAAUCAAUGAAACUGAUCUUUCAGUACAAAAGCUGAGAUAAACACAUAAGACGAGAAGACCCUGCGGAGCUUUAAGAUACAGUACUACAACCAGCACCCUACUUCCAACUAGGACACACACGCCAAACAAUAGUACUAAACUUUAAGUUGGGGCAACUGCGGAGAAAAAUAAAACCUCCACGUGACCAGGCUAACUGCCACCACAAAACACACCCGUUAACUGGUAAUAAAACUUGACCCAGCACUGCUGACUACCGAACCAAGUUACCCCAGGGAUAACAGCGCUAUCCCCCUCAAGAGUCCAUAUCGCCAGGGGGGCUUACGACCUCGAUGUUGGAUCAGGACACCCAGAUGGUGUAGCCGCUAUCAAGGUUCGUUUGUUCAACUAUUAAUGUCCUACGUGAU